rnacentral:lncRNA from 1 species
CAAGUUGAAGUGUCAAAUUACAUUGGCUAUUCUAUUACCAAAGGGCCAUGCUUUGUGGCUGCUGGCAAAAUCUGUCCCAGAUUCCUAUCUGAAAGGGAGCUGCCUCCUACAGGGAUGUUCUUCCCUUCGCCCUCUCCCUUCCCCUCUCCCCCCGCAACACACACACACACACACACACAGCCCCCCCCCAAAUCACACCAAGUUAAAAAUCUUAGAUGCGAGUUAAAAUACAAAUAUUAUCUUACAGUGUCUUUUAAGGCGGGGAGUCCUCCUGAAAACCAAGCACUCGGAAACCCUUCCACUCUGGAAACUGAAAGCUGGAGAAUAUGUAUACUCCCUUCGGUGUUUUUGUAUUAUUAAAUAGGGGAAAACCACCCUGGACCCAACACACUGCCAAGCAUGAGGUGUCUCCGUCUCUGUCGUCUUCACGAGAGAAUUUUUACGGGCAUGGAAGGAACUACCGGGCGGGCAGGGGGAUUACAGGGGAACGCCGAGACAUCCUGCUGCUCCGUUAUUGCACUCUAGCCCCCCACCCCCCUCCAUUUGUUGCCACCACCCCCACCCUCGGGGCCGCUGUUAUUUUCAGAGCCCGGAGCUCCCGCCACCCAGGAAAUCCAGCCCGAUUUCCAGGGAGAAAAUAAGAAGAAAUCGUCCUUGUCUGACGAGCCCCAAUCUGCUAAAAAACAUCUCCCUCGACUUCUCUUCCCCUUGAUAAAACACUUCCAGGACAAUCAAUAUUUUAUGAUGAGUUGUUAAUAAGCCUAAUAUAUUCAUCCCUGCUCCAACGGGGCUUGUUAGAUUAUGCAAUUAAGAUAAGCAAUUUAAACAGCACUGUGUAGCUUCUCGCUGGCCACAUUCGUCUUGUUGUUGGAGGAGGAGAACGAUCGGGACUGUAAAGGGAUGUCGGAUCGCUCGGGGAAGGGGGAAGAUUGUCUAAUUUUUUCUUAUUUUUCUCAGCUGCGUGCAGGCGGAACGGAGCGCUACCGCGGCUGUCCGCGCCGGUCCCCCCGCGGGGCUGCCCCCGUCCGCCGCCGCUGGACGCGCUGAUUUGCGCGGGGCUACGCCGCCCGCCCCCGAGGGCAGCGCCCCCGGC